CUAGCCGUAAACGAUGGGUACUAGGUGUUGGGGAGACCCAGUGCUGAAGCUAACGCAUUAAGUUCUCCGCCUGAGGAGUACGCACGCAAGUGUAAAACUUAAAGGAAUUGACGGGGGCCCGCACAAGCAGUGGAGCAUGUGGUUUAAUUCGUGGCUACGCGAAGAACCUUACCAGGGCUUGACAGGAAACUUAAGACCCUAGAGAUAGGGGGAUAAUAAGUGAAACAGGUGG
rnacentral:rRNA from 1 species